UAUGAACUGGUGCUGGAUGAUCUAUGUGAACUGCUGCUGGAUGAUCCGCAUGAACUGGUGCUGGAUGAUCCGCGUGAACUGGUGCAUUGAUUGAUUACAGCUCUGGUCACAGAUGUGCAGCAGACUUUCCUAUUCAGUGCCUUUGGUUACACAGCAAGCUCCCUCGAUUGUCGCCAGCCCUUGUGAUCCCCUCCUAAUGGAACAGUCCUUACUCCACUAGCGUCUCUAAGUGCUGUCAUAAGGAAGGAGGAUUAAAUCGUUGAUGGUUCAUUGCCAUAGCAGUUGGUUUACUGGGAGAUGAUUAUGGAACUUUGGCUGUGGCGCAGUGGAAGCAUCAGCACAUGUUCCCUCUUGGUUCCCGCAUUCGAUUCCCAGUAGAUCCCGUUUCUGUUUACACAAGGGAAAUUAAGACCGCAUACGGAUUCCAUCAAAUCUCAUUGCUUCUUUUCAUGAGUGAAUACGGCCCGCAUAUUCUGGGGAAGAGAUUGCACAUGGUCAACGCAAGAACUUUCUGCUGAUAUUGUCGGUCCUGAAAAGAUGAACUUGGCAACAGGUCAACGAACAAGAUGGCACUUCCUGAUUGAUCGGCUGACGUCUGGCUUUGAUAUGUUAGCUAAUUCCGAUCCUAUAUUGGUUGUCAUUUCGUGAUGUUCAAUUUUUUUUAGACGCGCGUCUGUCUAUACCUCGGGUCGGAUUGAUCGCUACCAUCUAGUUGGGGUCUUAGAGAUACUUUUUUAGCUUCUUGUUACUUCUGUCUUUUGUCAUCAGUGUCGAUAAACCCUGUAGUGUAAGUUAUCAAAAAUGUUUCAAAGAAUAUUAACGUAUAUAUAGUUUGCCUGUGUUGAUAAUUUUGCAGCCUCCUUCGAAAACGUUUUCAUUUACGUGCACAAAUUAAACAUUAUUCAAUUAGAGAUCAUUCGACUCCUAAGUCUCCCGCGGCCAUUUCAAUCAAUUUGUCAUCCAGUCACAUCGAAGAGUAUUGUCCUCCGCCCCCUGCAAGAUUCAUUUCCCAGCGGACAAAUAUAUUGAAAUGAGUACAAGUCCAGACUUUGAAAUUCAAGGCGGUUAAUCAAAUUGUCGGCAAUUGAAAGGUCGGAGGAGUUAACUUGUGGCAGACCAUUGCGGUGGAUGUAACUUCUUACUUAGUAAUCUUUGUGUUGGAUGGGGUGUGAUGAGAAAAUUUAUUUUCAAUCAUGGCCAUGUCCUCGUGUCUGGACUUCUUUCCUUGACCUGGUU